rnacentral:misc_RNA from 1 species
UUGAGAUGUACCAGACAUGGUUAGUACAUGUAUAGCUGUUUUGGGAGGAACACGCCAUAACAACACAGAAGCCGUCCGAUGAAUGCUGUGGUAUGGACCGAUUGCAGGUGACGUCACUUCUCCUCCUAACCGCCAUUCUCCAGGCUCUGACUUACGAUCCCUUGGUGAUUCCAAACAUCACCCAGGCCAAUCUGAGCUCUACUUACCAAGACUAUGUAGCAUCCAGAGCCGUGGAUGGUCGGCCGGAUCUGUUGAACAUGAUAGCGGAGGACUCCUGUACGCACACAGACGUGGGCCAGACCUCAGCCUGGCUGCGGGUAGAUCUAGGAGCCGAGUACAGCGUCUACCGAGUCAUGAUCUGGCGGUGUGGUUACGAACACGGUGCGGUUACAGGGUUACUCCGUGCGGGUGUCCAAUGAUACGUUAUCUAUCCCGCCCAGCGUCUGCUUCCAACAUGACGGAACUUCCCAGAUUCCUGUCGUCACCACAAAUGACUGUCCACGGAUCGCCCGAUACGUCUGGUUAUACAAUGAAGGCCGGUCACCGGAAACUAUCCUGGAAAUAUGCGAAGUCCAAAUUUAUGGAUGUGAGUUGAAUCACUAUGGAGAAAACUGCACGUCUUGUGGUAUUGGUUGUGAAGUUUGUGACAUCACAUCCGGUUGCACAAAAUGCUUGUCGGGUCACGUUUUCCCUGCCUGCGAAUGCCCACCUGGUUGGUAUGGCGUAGGUUGUACGGAGGCCUGCAGCCUGAACUGUUUCCUCAGCGUGUGUCACACAGAGACCGGGGAGUGCAGCAGUGGCUGUAACGCCGGCUAUCUCGGCGACUUCUGUAAUGAAACUUGCUCAUUGGGACGUUUUGGACCUGGGUGUCAAUUUCCAUGCAGUGGGAAUUGUAUAAACAACGACCCUUGCAAUCAUACAAACGGAAGUUGUGACCGCGGCUGCGCAGUUGGUUGGAGCGGACCUCUUUGUAAUCAAACUGUUCUGCUCCCCCCAAUUGAAGUUUCUGGAGGCAGCAUUGCCGGUUCGGUAGUCGGAGUUUUGUUCGCUGCCAUUGUUGUAGCUGUCGUCAUAGUUUUAAUCAUGAGGUUUCGACGAAAGUUGACGCCGGAGUACAGGGAUUUUGUGUAUCAGAGAAGUUUAAAGAUAAAACGGGAGGGUACAAAUAGUUCUGCAGAUCUUGUAAAUGACUUGAGUGAAGAAAAAAGUUCACGGCAAAGUCAUCUAGUAAAGAGAGACACAUCACUUUACUCUAAUACGCCACGACAGUCGUAUUUUCUUACCUCCAAAGAAAUAAGAGUGAAAGAUAUUUCUAAUGUUUUAAAAGUGAAAUCAAGAGACAGCUACAGAAUAUUUCUAGACGAAUUUAAGAAUAUUCCUUACGGAGAAGAGAGUCAUAUAGCCUGUACUGUAGCCAAGGAAACACACAACAAGCCAAGGAACAGGUUCAAAACCACAUUUCCCUAUGAUCACUCCCGAGUAGUUCUGAGAUCUGGUGAAAAUGACUAUAUCAACGCUAACUACAUAGAGGACUAUGACGGGAAUAAAAGAUAUAUAGCAUCCCAAGGCCCAAAGAGCAACACGCUCGUAGAUCAUUGGUUGAUGAUUUGGCAGGAGGAGGUGUCACUAAUUGUCAUGCUGACCAAUCGGAUUGAAGGAGGCAAGACAAAAUGUGAGCAGUAUUGGCCAGAUUUAGGAACGGAAGUGACGUAUGGAGACAUCAUAGUACGUCUGCAAAACGAAAAGCAUUACGCUUGUUACGUCAUAAGGCAGAUGGAGGUGCACCACAAGUCAAAGGCGGCGAGUAGAGUGGUCACUCAAAUGCAUUACACUCACUGGCCGGACCACGGCGUUCCCGACCCCCUAGAUCUGGUGACCUUUUAUAGACACGUGGCGCGGGUCAUAGACAAACAGAAGGAUCAUGGUCUUUUGUUGGUUCACUGCAGUGCGGGUAUCGGGAGGACGGGGACGUUUAUAGCGCUGGACUCCAUGUAUCACUGCGGUCGGACACAUGGCAGCUUUAACCCCGUUGAUUUCGUCAAAACAAUGAGGAAAGAUCGAAUGAGUAUGAUUCAGAAUGUGGACCAGUACGUGUUUCUCCAUUUCGCGCUGAAAGCAUGUUUUAUGUGGGAAGACAGAACUAAAAGUACAUGUACUUUCACUGAGGAACAAAUUAACCACAAGGCUGCUGUUCUAAAGAUGGCGCAGGAAUUCAAUGAGCUGAUUUCCAUAAAGCAGUCCUACAGUGAAGCUGAUAAAUCCGCCGGGGUUUCCCACAAAGAGUUAAACUACACUCCUAGCGUUCUACCAGUGGACAAAUACAAAGUGGGUCUGACGUCAUACGUGGACGGACGGUCCGAGUAUUACAAUGCGGUCUUCCUGCGUUCUUUUUGUGAGAACCAAGCAUUGAUCGCAGCUCAGUAUCCCCUGGAGGGACAGGCGCUGGAUUUCCUGAGGCUCCUGACAGACCACGAAUCUAACGUUUUAGUUUCUAUCAACCCUCUGAAGGACAUCCGAUCGACCAAAGAGUGGUUCCCGGCGGCGGCUCCACUGACUGUGUCCACCUACACGGUAUCACUGAUAAAGUCCGAGUUCAUCACCCCCUCCAUCCGGAGAUCAGACAUCCAGAUCAGAUACGACGAGUCAGAGGCACAUCUGGUUCAGGUUUAUGAAUUAACCACAUGGAAAUUUAAUGAUACCAUUCCACGUGACCUACAGAUGAGUAUGGAUGUAAUCAGUCACGUGAACACGGGCAGAGUCGAGAAAGAAAUCGUCUCUCCGAUUACCAUUGUGUCCAAGGACGGUGCCGUGGGUUGCGGUGUGUUCUGUGCCGUGUAUAACGCCGUACAACAGAUACAACAGGACGCCGAGGUGGACAUGUUUACCAUCGUACGACAGCUACAGGUCCGCCGACCGGAAAUGAUCUCAACCGUGGAGGAGUACCAUGCAUGUCACAAAAUUAUUGUAAUGACUUUAGAGAGAUGUAGCGAAGAGUUCGGCAGUAAACCCCUCAACACGGGGCCCACCGAGGGGGAACUGUACAGCAAUGUGGAAAAUGUGUACGCUAAUUCCUAGGAAUGUGUACACAUAUAUCAUGAACCUGGCCGCUAUAUGGACGACUAUGCUGCACGCCUAGAAUAUGUUACUAGUAACUUAUUACUAGGACAGUUUACAUUACAUGUACUACAUAAAGUGUACAUUGGUAACUUAUGACGUCACUCAACUGUAGGAGGAUCGUGUUCGUUUUUUGAAAAUGAUGGGCAUACCUCGGCCUGUACUUACAUACAUUGUACAUGUACCAGUGACCGGGAUCCUGUGUCAACCUUUCUUGUCAUACUUGUGACAAACAGAAAAGAACAGACAACAUGGUUAUCUGAGAUUAUCUCUCAAGUUGUUUCAGUUGAUUAAUUGUGUUGUACAUGAUAACUAAUUAUAAAAUAAAAAUUAUAUAUAG